rnacentral:lncRNA from 1 species
GUAGCAGAAUGUCUUGUCUAUUCUCCCAAAGCUUGUGACAGAAACUGUGUGGGUGCCUGAUCACUAUUUUGCAUUUCACUACAAUGUUACUUCAUUACAAUCGCUUUGUUCUUAACAUCAGUUAAAGGCAGCUUGAAAAUACAGAGUUCAAAUGAUGCAAGAUAUGAACACACUUUAAGGAUCUUAAACUGGAAUAAGCAAAAUGUAUAACCACUGCCUAGGCCUUGACCCGGUUCCUGCACGUUACAUGUGACUAACUAAAUGUUCACUCCACUUCCACCUGUGAUCGCAAAAUUGUACAAUAAGAUAUUCCCAGUGUUCAUCUUCCUUCAUUUGUAUAUUAAUCUGAAUUUGGCCACAUUUCUUAAGUGAUGUUUAUCUAAGGGUACUAAUACUCUUGGUAUUAAGACAUAAUUUCCAGUUGCUUUGUUUUUAAUUCAUAGAAUGAAAUGAAAAUGGGGUUAUUAUUGUUGUUAUAUUUCUUAUUUAUGGGCAUGAAAAUAUUCUUAUUAGCUGUGGACAGUAAUUCUGAGUUUAUUGUAUUUUAAAUUAAUGUGUUCAUGCUAUUGUGUCUUUUUAACAGGCAAUAACUUCAGACCGGCUUUGUGAAAAUGUUUCCUGCUACUGGAAAAUAACAAAACAGCCAUGGUAGAAGUAUCCAUUCUGAAUGGAUGUGUUCCAAAUUGAGCAGGAUUAAAGCCACAUUCACACAGGGUGGAAUGAGCAAAUGAUCCACAAGAAAAAGACAAGACGGAGCAAGGUGAUUGCUCCAUACCACUCCCUUUCCUCAAUCAGCAGCAAACCUGUUCCCCAAAACAGAGCAAAGAGGUAUUCAAUAGAGAGAGAGAAAAUUCCUGUCUGCUUCUUCGACCUGUAACCAUUUUUUUUUCGAGGUGAAAAGACCCAUUUUGCAAAGCUAAAGGAAGGGAGAGUGGGAAGAGGAGAUAAUAGACAAGAUAUCAAAAGACAGGGAGAGCAGAGGAAAAGUAAAGGAUGGGGACACAAAAGCAGAAUUGUGGACAGGUGUGAUUGUUAUUGUUUUGAUAUGUUGCUAGUAUGUUCCCAUUUACUUCCAAAACACAAUUACUGCUAGACAACAAGAUGGUGGGUUAAAGUUCUUAUAUAGAGGCUAUCUUUUAUAGAAUAUUGCAACCAAAGCAACCAAAGAAGGUCAUGAUUUCUUCUGCUGAUAAUGAAGAUAUUUCCUUAGAUCAAAUUUUACUAUAUUUUAAUCAUGUGAUAAUACAUUGGUGAAAAUGCAAUUCAAUGCCUGCUGAAGACCUGUCAGGGUGAUGUGUAAAUAAUCAAUUACUUUCUUCAAGGCUAUUAUUAGCUCUGUGUUACAAAGAAUAAUGUAACACAUUGAGAUUGCAAUCCCACAGACAUAUCUGAACAAACAUGCAUAAAAUUACACUCCUGUAAAUCUAGACAUUUGGUCUUAAUUGCUUUCUAGGGAAACCAUAUUUGCUCAUCAGUUGGCAUAAAUAACCAAAUGGACACACAGGGAUAAUGAUAAUAAGUUUUUGGAUAAAAAUAACUAUUCUUUGAAAGUGGUGGAAGUGUAAAUACAGGCUGAUAGGUUUUAUAAUUACUGAUGAGUAAAAGAGUCUUAAUGUUCUUAAAUGAUUUUAAACGUCUGGACUGUAAGGUGUUGAGCAUCUUCAUGGUAUGGGAAGGGCAGUCAGGAGAUGUUCCCAGAAUAUGUGCAGAGUGAUACAUCAGCAAAGCUGAAUGCAACUAGAAACAAUAUCAUUUGAUUUCAGUACAUUCUGGAAUUGUUAGAAACUUUCUUCUUCCAUUUGAAUUUAAAAGUUUUAUUUAGUUCUUUUUCUUAAAUCAUCUAAGCAAAAAACUAUCUUUUACAGCAGAAGGUUCUUUCCAAUAAAGAUUUUAGUUCCUACUCACCCUUUUGUUUCCCUUGUGUAUGGCAAUGCAUUUAUUUUGAAAAUGUAAGUACAAAUUUCACCUUAGAAUGCAAUUAUAUAAGCUUGCUUACAAGCACUAUCUUUUUACUGAUUAGCCCUAUUAUCUUUCAUGAAAUAUCUCCUCACAUGGAUAUGUAGAAGUAUUCCAUGGAGAAAUAUAAAGCCUCUGAAGAACUAUUUCCUCAAACACAUUAAAGUAGUCAGAGAGAUUUUGUUGUUGUUGCAGGGAGUACAUGAUAUAUAAAGUCCAGAAUAGUUUCUUUGCAGAGUAGAACAGAGCAUGACUUAGACCCAUAUAGUUGAAGAUGAGUUGGCCUUUUGUUCAGUAGAACCUUGCUUCAUGUGUUCAGUUGUAAUGGCACAUCACUUUGUGGUAUAGAAAGUGUUAUAUAUUCAGUAAACUGGGCAGGGAAACUUUUGCAUAAAUAUUAAAAGGCGCCUUCUUCACCAGAGAUACAUCUAUACUGUAGAACUGACACCACUUUAGUGGCCAUGGAAUCAUAGAAGUUGUCAUUUUAAAAGGUUUUUAACCUUCUCUGCCAAAGAGUCUAGGUGCUUCGUCAAACUAAAUCUCGCAUGAUUCCAUAGCAUUGAGGUGUGGCAGUUAAAGUGGAAUUAAUUGCAUUAAUUCUAC